GACGAACCGUGCGAACGUUGUUCGGAAUCACUGGGCUUAAAGGGCGCGUAGGCGGCGGAUCAAGUCCGGGGGUGAAAGCCCCCAGCUCAACUGGGGAAGUGCCUCGGAUACUGGUUCGCUCGAGGGAGGUAGGGGUCGCGGGAACUUCCGGUGGAGCGGGUGAAAUGCGUUGAUAUCGGAAGGAACGCCGGUGGCGAAAGCGCGCGACGUGGACCUCUUCUGACGCUGGAGGCGCGA
rnacentral:rRNA from 1 species